rnacentral:rRNA from 1 species
CGACGAUGAUCUCCAGCUUGCUGGGGGGAUUAGUGGCGAACGGGUGAGUAACACGUGAGUAACCUGCCCUUGACUCUGGGAUAAGCCUGGGAAACUGGGUCUAAUACCGGAUAUGACUGCUCCGCGCAUGCGGUGGUGGUGGAAAGCUUUUGCGGUUUUGGAUGGACUCGCGGCCUAUCAGCUUGUUGGUGGGGUAAUGGCCUACCAAGGMGACGACGGGUAGCCGGCCUGAGAGGGUGACCGGCCACACUGGGACUGAGACACGGCCCAGACUCCUACGGGAGGCAGCAGUGGGGAAUAUUGCACAAUGGGCGAAAGCCUGAUGCAGCGACGCCGCGUGAGGGAUGACGGCCUUCGGGUUGUAAACCUCUUUCAGUAGGGAAGAAGCGUAAGUGACGGUACCUGCAGAAGAAGCGCCGGCUAACUACGUGCCAGCAGCCGCGGUAAUACGUAGGGCGCAAGCGUUAUCCGGAAUUAUUGGGCGUAAAGAGCUCGUAGGCGGUUUGUCGCGUCUGCUGUGAAAGACCGGGGCUCAACUCCGGUUCUGCAGUGGGUACGGGCAGACUAGAGUGAUGUAGGGGAGACUGGAAUUCCUGGUGUAGCGGUGAAAUGCGCAGAUAUCAGGAGGAACACCGAUGGCGAAGGCAGGUCUCUGGGCAUUAACUGACGCUGAGGAGCGAAAGCAUGGGGAGCGAACAGGAUUAGAUACCCUGGUAGUCCAUGCCGUAAACGUUGGGCACUAGGUGUGGGGGACAUUCCACGUUUUCCGCGCCGUAGCUAACGCAUUAAGUGCCCCGCCUGGGGAGUACGGCCGCAAGGCUAAAACUCAAAGGAAUUGACGGGGGCCCGCACAAGCGGCGGAGCAUGCGGAUUAAUUCGAUGCAACGCGAGAACCUUACCAAGGCUUGACAUGACUAGUAAGCGCAGAAUGUGUUCCCCUCUUGAGGCUGGUUACAGGUGGUGCAUGUGUCGUCAGCUCGUGUCGU